GCGUGCUUAACACAUGCAAGUCGAACGGAAAGGCCCUUCGGGGUACUCGAGUGGCGAACGGGUGAGUAACACGUGGGUGAUCUGCCCUGCACUUUGGGAUAAGCCUGGGAAACUGGGUCUAAUACCGAAUAGGACCACGCGCUUCAUGGUGUGUGGUGGAAAGCUUUUGCGGUGUGGGAUGGGCCCGCGGCCUAUCAGCUUGUUGGUGGGGUAAUGGCCUACCAAGGCGACGACGGGUAGCCGGCCUGAGAGGGUGACCGGCCACACUGGGACUGAGAUACGGCCCAAACUCCUACGGGAGGCAGCAGUGGGGAAUAUUGCACAAUGGGCGCAAGCCUGAUGCAGCGACGCCGCGUGAGGGAUGACGGCCUUCGGGUUGUAAACCUCUUUCAAUAGGGACGAAGCGCAAGUGACGGUACCUAUAGAAGAAGCACCGGCCAACUACGUGCCAGCAGCCGCGGUAAUACGUAGGGUGCGAGCGUUGUCCGGAAUUACUGGGCGUAAAGAGCUC
rnacentral:rRNA from 1 species